UCACUUCAUUCACCAGUCUUGACGAGGCCCUCUGCGCGCGUGCCAAAUUAUAUGUUUAUAUUUUUUAUAUUCAUUUUCAUCUUUUUUGUGCAGUGAUUGAUAGAUAUAUAGAAAUAUGUUUAUGUCAUAUCAAGUGAUGGCUACGUUUGGAGUCUCUGCUCUCCUCUCGUUCGCACUCUCCACGACGCUACUGCUGGUACUGGCAGCCAAGAGGGGGUACCUGCGAGCGGGCUACAGACCCAAGGGAGGGCAAGUCUUACUCCCUCCUUCUCAGCCGAAACCCAUCAUCGCUGAACUCACACCGCUCAAGCAGUAGUUGUGAUUGUGAUGGACUUGGGAGAACAAGUCUUCGAGAUUUCUAGAGUAAUCAAGAAACGCAAAUUAUUAUAAGCGACCAAAAAUGUGUGUUUAAAACUUGGUUUAGCAAGCAUGGAUGUGCAGAUUAUCUGCGGGCUAACAUUUAUUAUUUAUCAUAAUGUGAAUGAAGAAAACUGAAAUUACUUAAUCUGUAAAUUAUAAUGUUUAAAAUAAAUUAGGUAUUAGAUAUAUAUAAAUUCUUCGCCACGUAACAGGAAGCAACAAAAUCCAGCAUUACCAAAAUGUUACGACAAAAUCGACCUCAAAUGUAACACUGGUACCCAAAACGUCACAUGUUUCAGAGCACAAUUGUAAAUCACAGAAUGUGACUUAUAUUUUUAUGUUUCCGAAUUGGAAUAAAACUGCGGAAGGCGUCCGGUGGUCGGAUUUUAUCGGGGUUUUACUUAUUGGCAGCUUCGAGCGCCAACUUCAGGUUUUACACUCGAAAUUUUUAGGAUUUUAUUCGUACCACGAACUUUUCCAGCCGUACAGGUGCAUAAAACGCCAAGGAAUCCGAUUUUCAUGCUUUGUCUGUGUCCUAAAGUAUGUUUUCUAAGAUUGCGAGCUAGAAUAUUGACGAUAAUAUUAUGCAUAAGGUUACAUUGAAGGAGGUUUGAUAGUAAAGCAAUAGCGCGCUUUGCAACAUCGUAUGUUCAUGUGAUCUGAAUUUGUUUUCAAAUUGUUGCACCAAAAUUUAAAAGUUUAUAACUGAUUGACUGACUUUUCGAGUGUACAGACAAAAUUGUUGCGAACGUUUUAAAAAAAAUAACCUCUAAAGGUAUGAGAGGGAUUCUAAAUGGAUUAAAUUGUGCAACUAGUAUUAUAACAUUCUCGAAUUUUUAGAAUAGAAUUUAUAUUUAUAUUUCAAAAAGACACAUAACAUUACGUAUUAUUACCUGUAUUCUGAAGUAUUAAGGUGCCAUGUGAAUUCCAAAAUUGUUUAUUUAAUUGUAAGUGUUGUGAUAUCGUGUAUUUGUUCUUCGCGUCGGUUUUUAAAUAAAAUAUUAAGAUUA